CCUAGGAAUCUGCCUGGUUGUGGGGGAUAACGUCCGGAAACGGGCGCUAAUACCGCAUACGUCCUGAGGGAGAAAGUGGGGGAUCUUCGGACCUCACGCUAUCAGAUGAGCCUAGGUCGGAUUAGCUAGUUGGUGGGGUAAAGGCCUACCAAGGCGACGAUCCGUAACUGGUCUGAGAGGAUGAUCAGUCACACUGGAACUGAGACACGGUCCAGACUCCUACGGGAGGCAGCAGUGGGGAAUAUUGGACAAUGGGCGAAAGCCUGAUCCAGCCAUGCCGCGUGUGUGAAGAAGGUCUUCGGAUUGUAAAGCACUUUAAGUUGGGAGGAAGGGCAGUAAGUUAAUACCUUG
rnacentral:rRNA from 1 species